rnacentral:rRNA from 1 species
UACGGGGGGUGCGAGCGUUGUCCGGAAUCACUGGGCGUAAAGGGCGCGUAGGUGGUUUGAUAAGGGUGUGGUGAAAGUCCGGGGCUCAACCCCGGAUCUGCCGUGCCGACUGUCAAACUCGAGGACUGUAGAGGCAGACGGAAUUCCGGGUGUAGCGGUGAAAUGCGCAGAUAUCGGGAAGAACACCCGUGGCGAAGGCGGCUCUCUGGGACGGUACUGACGCUGAGACGCGAAAGCGUGGGGAGCGAACAGG